CCCUUAGAUGUUCUGGGCGGCCCGCGCACUACAUUGGCACUAGCAAAGAGAUCCUAGAUUGAAUUCUUUGGGGUAUUCUUCUAAAUGGUGUCGUGACUGGGAUAAAUCCUUGUAAUUAUUGGUUUUGAACGAGGAGUUCCUUGUAAUCGCGGUUUAUCAGCUCGCGUUGAAUGCGUCCCUGCCCUUUGUACACACCGCCCGUCGCUCCUACCGAUGGAUCGUCCGGUGAAGCUCACGGAGUGACUGUUCACGCAACGGUUUACGAAGUGAAAUGGACCUCACGAUUUAGAGGAAGGAGAAGUCGUAACA
rnacentral:rRNA from 1 species